GCGGGGAUAGCUCAGUUGGGAGAGCGUCAGACUGAAGAUCUCGAUCCACGCUCACCGCA
rnacentral:tRNA from 1 species